rnacentral:rRNA from 1 species
AUUGAACGCUGGCGGAAUGCUUUACACAUGCAAGUCGAACGGUAGAGGGGGCAACCCCUCGAGAGUGGCGAACGGGUGAGUAAUAUAUCGGAACGUGCCCAGUCGUGGGGGAUAACGUAGCGAAAGUUACGCUAAUACCGCAUACGAUCUAUGGAUGAAAGCGGGGGGACCGUAAGGCCUCGCGCGAUUGGAGCGGCCGAUAUCAGAUUAGGUAGUUGGUGGGGUAAAGGCUCACCAAGCCAACGAUCUGUAGCUGGUCUGAGAGGACGACCAGCCACACUGGAACUGAGACACGGUCCAGACUCCUACGGGAGGCAGCAGUGGGGAAUAUUGGUCAAUGGGCGCAAGCCUGAACCAGCCAUGCCGCGUGCAGGAAGACGGUCCUAUGGAUUGUAAACUGCUUUUGUACGGAACGAAAAGGUUUCUAUUAAUACUAGGAGCUCAUGACGGUACCGUAAGAAUAAGCACCGGCUAACUACGUG